AUUGAACGCUGGCGGCAGGCCUAACACAUGCAAGUCGAGCGAGCGGCGGACUGGUGAGUAAUGUAUUGGCAUCUGCCCGAUCGAGGGGGAUAACUACUGGAAACGGUGGCUAAUACCGCAUACUAUCGUAUGGACCCAUAGGGGAUUAUCUAGUAGGUGGGGUAAAGGCUCACCAAGGCGACGAUCUCUAGCUGGUCUGAGAGGAUGAUCGGCCACACUGGGACUGAGACACGGCCCAGACUCCUACGGGAGGCAGCAGUGGGGAAUAUUUGGCAAUGGGCGCAAGCCUGAUGCAGCCAUGCCGCGUGAAUGAAGAAGGCCUUAGGGUUGUAAAGUACUUUCAGCGGGGAGGCGGUACCCAAAGAAGAAGCAACGGCUAACUCCGUGCCAGCAGCCGCGGUAAUAC
rnacentral:rRNA from 1 species